AUUGAACGCUGGCGGCAGGCCUAACACAUGCAAGUCGAGCGAGCGGCGGACGGGUGAGUAAUGUCUGGGAAACUGCCUGAUGGAGGGGGAUAACUACUGGAAACGGUAGCUAAUACCGCAUACCAUCAGAUGUGCCCAGAUGGGAUUAGGUAGUAGGUGGGGUAAUGGCUCACCUAGGCGACGAUCCCUAGCUGGUCUGAGAGGAUGACCAGCCACACUGGAACUGAGACACGGUCCGGACUCCUACGGGAGGCAGCAGUGGGAAAUAGAGCACACUGGGCGCAAGCCGGAUGCAGCCAUGCCGCGUGUGUGAAGAAGGGCUGCGGGUUGUAAAGCACUUUCAGCGGGCAGGCGUUACCCGCAGAAGAAGCACCGGCUAACUCCGUGCCAGCAGCCGCGGUAAUUC
rnacentral:rRNA from 1 species